UACAGAGGGUGCAAGCGUUAAUCGGAAUUACUGGCGUAAAGCGCACGUAGGUGGCUGGGUAAGUUGGAUGUGAAAUCCCCGGGCUUAACUUGGGAAUUGCAUUCAAGACUGCCUGGCUAGAGUCCGGAAGAGGAGUGUGGAAUUCCCGGUGUAGCGGUGAAAUGCGCAGAUAUCGGGAAGAACACCCGUGGCGAAGGCGGCACUCUGGGACGGUACUGACGCUGAGACGCGAAAGCGUGGG
rnacentral:rRNA from 1 species